rnacentral:rRNA from 1 species
CGCUGGCGGCGUGCUUAACACAUGCAAGUCGAACGAUGAAGCGGUGCUUGCACCGUGGAUUAGUGGCGAACGGGUGAGUAAUACGUGAGUGACCUACCUUUGACUCUGGGAUAAGCCUGGGAAACUGGGUCUAAUACCGGAUACGACCAAUCUCUGCAUGGGGUGUUGGUGGAAAGCGUUAUGGAGUGGUUUUAGAUGGGCUCACGGCCUAUCAGCUUGUUGGUGAGGUAAUGGCUUACCAAGGCGACGACGGGUAGCCGGCCUGAGAGGGUGACCGGCCACACUGGGACUGAGACACGGCCCAGACUCCUACGGGAGGCAGCAGUGGGGAAUAUUGCACAAUGGGCGCAAGCCUGAUGCAGCGACGCCGCGUGAGGGAUGACGGCCUUCGGGUUGUAAACCUCUGUUAGCAUCGAAGAAGCGAAAGUGACGGUAGGUGCAGAGAAAGCGCCGGCUAACUACGUGCCAGCAGCCGCGGUAAUACGUAGGGCGCGAGCGUUGUCCGGAAUUAU